rnacentral:rRNA from 1 species
GAUGAACGCUGGCGGCGUGCCUAAUACAUGCAAGUCGAGCGAACGGACGAGAAGCUUGCUUUUCUGAUGUUAGCGGCGGACGGGUGAGUAACACGUGGAUAAUCUACCUAUAAGACUGGGAUAACUUCGGGGAACCGGAGCUAAUACCGGAUAAUAUUUUGAACCGCAUGGUUCAAAAGUGAAAGACGGUCUUGCUGUCACUUAUAGAUGGAUCCGCGCUGCAUUAGCUAGUUGGUAAGGUAACGGCUUACCAAGGCAACGAUGCAUAGCCGACCUGAGAGGGUGAUCGGCCACACUGGAACUGAGACACGGUCCAGACUCCUACGGGAGGCAGCAGUAGGGAAUCUUCCGCAAUGGGCGAAAGCCUGACGGAGCAACGCCGCGUGAGUGAUGAAGGUCUUCGGAUCGUAAAACUCUGUUAUUAGGGAAGAACAUAUGUGUAAGUAACUGUGCACAUCUUGACGGUACCUAAUCAGAAAGCCACGGCUAACUACGUG